rnacentral:rRNA from 1 species
UUCCGGUUGAUCCUGCCGGAGGUUACUGCUAUCGAGGUUCGACUAAGCCAUGCGAGUCGAAUGUAGCAAUACAUGGCGAACUGCUCAGUAACACGUGGACAACCUGCCCUUAGGACGGGGAUAAACCCGGGAAACUGGGUAUAAUACCCGAUAGGUCUCGAUUGCUGGAAUGCAUCGAGAUUUAAAGCUCCGGCGCCUAAGGAUGGGUCUGCGGCCUAUCAGGUAGUAGUGGGUGUAGCAUACCUACUAGCCUACGACGGGUACGGGUUGUGAGAGCAAGAGCCCGGAGAUGGAUUCUGAGACACGAAUCCAGGCCCUACGGGGUGCAGCAGGCGCGAAAACUUUACAAUGCUGGCAACAGCGAUAAGGGAACCUCGAGUGCCAGGUUACAAAUCUGGCUGUCGAGAUGCCUAAAAAGCAUUUCAUAGCAAGGGCCGGGCAAGACCGGUGCCAGCCGCCGCGGUAACACCGGCGGCUCGAGUGGUAACCGUUAUUAUUGGGUCUAAAGGGUCUGUAGCCGGCCGGAUAAGUCUCUUGAGAAAUCUGGCAGCUUAACUGUCAGGCUUUCAGGAGAUACUGUCUGGCUCGAGGCCGGGAGAGGUGAGAGGUACUUCAGGGGUAGGGGUGAAAUCUUGUAAUCCUUGAAGGACCACCAGUGGCGAAGGCGUCUCACCAGAACGGACCUGACGGCAAGGGACGAAAGCUAGGGGCACGAACCGGAUUAGAUACCCGGGUAGUCCUAGCCGUAAACGAUACUCGCUAGGUGUCGGCCACGGUGCGACCGUUGUCGGUGCCGUAGGGAAGCCGUGAAGCGAGCCACCUGGGAAGUACGGCCGCAAGGCUGAAACUUAAAGGAAUUGGCGGGGAGCACACA